AACGAACGCUGGCGGCAGGCCUAACACAUGCAAGUCGAACGCCGUAGCAAUACGGAGUGGCAGACGGGUGAGUAACGCGUGGGAACAUACCCUCCGGUUCGGAAUAACUCAGGGAAACUUGAGCUAAUACCGGAUACGUCCAAGGUUUUAAUCGGCCUUGGAGAAAGAUUUAUCGCCGGAGGAUUGGCCCGCGUCUGAUUAGCUUGUUGGUGAGGUAAUGGCUCACCAAGGCGACGAUCAGAGCUGGUCUGAGAGGACGGCCAGCCACACUGGCACUGACACACGGGCCAGACUCCUACGGGAGGCAGCAGUGGGGAAUUUUGGGCAAUGGGCGAAAGCCUGACCCAGCAACGCCGCGUGAGGGAGGAAAUCCUUCGGGAUGUAAACCUCACAAGCAAGGGAAGAGAGCUCAGGGCCGAAUAAGCUUUGAGUCCGACGGUACCUUGCGUAAGCCACGGCUAACUACGUGCCAGCCGCCGCUGUAAG
rnacentral:rRNA from 1 species